rnacentral:lncRNA from 1 species
CACUCGUCAUGCCCAGAAAACGUCAGUUCAAAGCAAAGUUUUGUCCGGUAAUGAGCCAAUGAAAAUUGCUAAGUGCAAGAUCUGUCUGCGCAGCUAUCAAACCCGGGCUUGGGUGAGAGCAGAGCUGGGCCGGCGGGUCUGCCCUGAGCUCUCCGCGCCGGCAGCUUGGAAGCAGGACUGCGCGUGGAGCACUUCGAGGCUCGCCCGCGCGCCGGUUUACCAGCGGAACCGCUUUAAGCUCCCGUAGAUAGAAGGAGCAUCCCCUGCCUUGGUAAACUGCGCUACAGCAAUACAGAUUUGGCCUUUCAGCUCAGACGAUGCUUACUGAGGACGGCUCAUUCCGCUUCCGCGGCGCUGCUCCGGCCGUGGGCGCUGGGGGCCGCGGAAGGGAGCGCGUGUCACGCUGCAGCCGGCGAGGCCCCGCAUGCCGGCGCGAGAAGGCGCACGGGAAAGCCAAGCAGGGGCUUCGUUCCCAGCGUCCGGGAGCGUGGGGCAAGCUCCCUUGGAGGGUGCUGGAUCAUCGCGUUGUCGCCUUGCUGUCCUUGGAUGCGUUCCCGGAGAGAUCCUGCCAGAAGAUUAAAGAAGAUUUAAUGAAAAAAAAAAAAAAGCGCAAAUGCGAAACAUGGAGAAGAGAGAGGAGCGAUGGGCUGCUCCCCGAGGACGACCUCUGCCUGGCAAACCUGCGUGCCCGAACCGGGCUGCCCUGGAGGAGGUCGUGGAGAAAGGCCUUGGAGGCAGCACAGGGACACGGCGCCAGAGCUGGGCUAGGGGAGUUGCACAGCAGAUACUCGUGCAGCGUGUCCCAGUUCAUCUCACCAGGGUCCCAAGCAAUAAAUUCACCUACUGGGGGGGAAAAAAGACCACGUAGCUUGCACAAGAGCUGCAUAAACCCUCUGCUUUGCUCAGCUGAUGCACGGACGGUCUCAGAGAGCCCCUUUCCCUGCUGACCUCCACCCCACACUCCGCUGGCUGCAGCCUGCGGUCAGCAAACGUGUGAUGCUCACCCAAGUGGGGAACUGUGCGAAAGGGAGCUCCUCGCCCGCCGGCGGCUCUCCUCCUGCCAGCGCUCGGCCACGUGACGGAGCGUCGCGGGGCUGCAUCCUGACCUUGGACGCACAAGCCUGUAGUAAAUCAGUCUCUUACGCAUCCAAAAGCCAGCUUUCCCCUGCAUGGAAAAUACCAUAUAAAACACCGAGAGACGAAUACCAAAGUCCUUAGCUGGUUCUUACAAAAAUAAAAAUAAAAAUCUCCCGUUGGCCCUAGUGAGA